rnacentral:rRNA from 1 species
UGGGGAAUAUUGGACAAUGGGGGGAACCCUGAUCCAGCCACGCCGCGUGGGUGAAGAAGGCCUUCUGGUUGUAAAGCACUUUAAGCGAGGAGGAGGGUACUGGUAUUAAUACUACCAGGUACUGGACGUUACUCGCAGAAUAAGCACCGGCUAACUCUGUGCCAGCAGCCGCGGUAAUACAGAGGGUGCGAGCGUUAAUCGGAUUUACUGGGCGUAAAGCGUGCGUAGGCGGCUAAUUGAGUCGGAUGUGAAAUCCCCGAGCUUAACUUGGGAAUUGCAUUCGAUACUGGUUAGCUAGAGUGUGGGAGAGGAUGGUAGAAUUCCAGGUGUAGCGGUGAAAUGCGUAGAGAUCUGGAGGAAUACCGAUGGCGAAGGCAGCCAUCUGGCCUGACACUGACGCUGAGGUACGAAAGCAUGGGGAGCAAACAGG